UACGUAGGGGGCAAGCGUUGUCCGGAUUUAUUGGGCGUAAAGAGCGUGUAGGCGGCCAGACAGGUCCGUUGUGAAAACUCGAGGCUCAACCUCGAGACGCCGAUGGAAACCGUUUGGCUAGAGUCCGGAAGAGGAGAGUGGAAUUCCUGGUGUAGCGGUGAAAUGCGCAGAUAUCAGGAAGAACACCCGUGGCUAAGGCGGCUCUCUAGUACGGUAAUGACGCUGAGACGCGAAAGCGUGGGGAGCGAACAGG
rnacentral:rRNA from 1 species